GACGAACGCUGGCGGCGUGCUUAACACAUGCAAGUCGAACGGAAAGGCCCUGCUCUUGUUGGGUGCUCGAGUGGCGCACGGGUGAGUAACACGUGAGUAACCUGCCCCUGACUUUGUGAUAACUUCUGGAAACUGGGGCUAAUACCGCAUAGGAGCUCCUGCUGCAUGGUGUGGGUUGGAAAGUUUCGGCGGUUGGGGAUGGACUCGCGGCUUAUCAGCUUGUUGGUGGGGUAGUGGCUUACCAAGGCUUUGACGGGUAGCCGGCCUGAGAGGGUGACCGGCCACAUUGGGACUGAGAUACGGCCCAGACUCCUACGGGAGGCAGCAGUGGGGAAUAUUGCACAAUGGGCGGAAGCCUGAUGCAGCAACGCCGCGUGCGGGAUGACGGCCUUCGGGUUGUAAACCGCUUUCGCCUGUGACGAAGCGUGAGUGACGGUAAUGGGUAAAGAAGCACCGGCUAACUACGUG
rnacentral:rRNA from 1 species